CAGCAGCAGCCGCGGUAAUACGGAGGGUGCAAGCGUUAAUCGGAAUUACUGGGCGUAAAGCGCACGCAGGCGGUCUGUCAAGUCAGAUGUGAAAUCCCCGGGCUUAACCUGGGAACUGCAUUUGAAACUGGCAGGCUAGAGUCUUGUAGAGGGGGGUAGAAUUCCAGGUGUAGCGGUGAAAUGCGUAGAGAUCUGGAGGAAUACCGGUGGCGAAGGCGGCCCCCUGGACAAAGACUGACGCUCAGGUGCGAAAGCGUGGGGAGCAAACAGGAUUAGAUACCCCAGUAGUCCCUGUCUCUUAUAC
rnacentral:rRNA from 1 species